AUGGCCCGGAGAAGCAACAGGAAACCAAAACCGACUCUAUUCAAAUCGAAAAGUAGUAGGCAGCCGGCCCGCCCGGCCGACCGGCGGCAAGCCCCACGCGCGGCGGGUGAAGGGCGGGCCCGGGUAGGGCCUCCGGGACCCCAGCACCUCACGCCGGCCUCCAAACUCGGCUCCAGGCACGGGCGGCGGGAGUCUGCCUCCACGGGGGGAUCGAGGGGCAGGGUCGGUUCUCCCCCAGCCCGGGACUCCAAGAACCCCAUGCCCCGGGCCGCCCGCUCUUCUCUCUCCACGCCGACCUCCCCGCCGCCCGCCCCCAGCCACGGGGCGCGCGCGCCGGGCGCCGCCGUUUCCAAAGUGCGCGGAAAGUGGGGGCUCACGGGUGGGUGGGCGCCUACCUCGUGCGGCGAGCGCGGGCAGCAGCGCCAGGCAGAGCAGGGGCGCCAGGAGCGGCGGCAUGCCUCCCUCCCGGCUGCCCUCUGCGCCCGGACGGCGGCCUCCUGCGCUGGCCGGCGGGGCUGGGACGCACACGCGCGGCGGACGGUCCCGGGGAGGCGGCGGACAGUCCCGCCCUCUCUUCCCCGGCUGGCAGUCGGCGCUGUGCUCUCGCGGGCUCCCGGGCCCGUCUCCGCGCCCGGCUCGUUCCUUCGCUGCGCUCGCACCCGCGCCCCGCGCCCCGGCGCCCCUGCGCUCCCUCCCGCGGCCGAGGCACUAGUGAGGCUCAGAGUCGAGGUGCGCUCCGCCCCCACCGGCCCCGCCCCGCCCGGCACCGCCCCCACCGGUCCCCCCGCCCCCUCCGCGGCCACCUCCUCCCGCGCGCCCGGUCCGCCUAUGCGCCUCCCCGAGCUGAGCCGCGCGUCCCGAGCCCAGCCUCUCCGGGGAGGAGGGACCCGGCGGCGCGGCGUGGGUCGGGAGCGGGCGCCUGGGACUACUUCUCGUUUGAAAGUUUUCAGAGGCCAAAAGUUUGAGCCGGGGCUGCGGAAGGAUCCGGCUCUGGCCGUUGCCGCGCUCGGCGACAAUUGGCAACGGAAAUUUGCAUGAAUUCGUCUUGGCUCUUGCUGCCCCCAUGACCCUGUGGCGCUGGGGGGCAGGGAGCGUGAUGCUCCCCAUUUUUCAGGAGGGAAACUGAGGCUCAGAGACAUCAUGAGGAUGCCAGCUCAAGGCCCAGCCAGGCCUUGGUCCUCAGCUGCUGUCAUCCAGUAGGGUAAGUGGGACCCCCAGGAGGUGUUGGGGGAUACUCCUCCCCUCCCCCACGCUCACGGUCUGUUCACUGUGCAAGGCAGCAGGCUGGACUUGGAGCAGGGACCAUCGCUUGGCGUGGCCAUGUUGGAGUGGCCCCUGGGACUGAAAGCAGGGGGCGUGGGGGCUCUGAAGCCAGGCUAAGUGUGGGGACUUCCUGUGGCGGUUACCCUGCCAGGUCCUGGGUGGGGGCCACCACCAGGCAGCUGUGGGAACAUUCCAGACCACCUGGGGUGGGGCUCCUUCACCUCUUGAAGCUGACUGUAAAAGACAUCUGACCUGCAUGUGAAGCUCAAACCCAGAGGCCUCCAGGGUGUCCAGCCUCCAGAGUCCCUCCUACGCAGCCUCCAUGUCCCCAUCCACUGCAGCCCCUGACCAUCAGGCGCACCGUGAGGCCUUCGAGGGCUGCCAGGCCUCAGGCUCUGCUGCACCAAGUGAUUUUGAAAGUCCCAUCUGC
rnacentral:lncRNA from 1 species